CCUGGCCUUUUUCUAGCUUCACAUACGCAUCGUCAACACUGUACUGAGCUGUUGUUCUUUCUUGUUUCAUUCCUAUGGAUACAGCCUGCGAGUUUCAACAUCCGACCUAUCAGUUACAUCUUGAAAUAACUAGUGGUUUGAUGGCCGUUACCUGGACAAGCGACAGUUCAGAAACAGCUGCCAUAAUCUGACGGGAUACUUUUGUUAACUCGCGGACGUAUUUAUUGAAUUGGAAACCUAUUUUCUGGCUUUCGGGUCGCGCUAAGGCUACCUUUCGCAUCAAAUCAUCUGCAAGCACCGUCACCUGAAGGCAACACGACAA